AUUGAACGCUGGCGGCAUGCCUUACACAUGCAAGUCGAACGGCAGCACGGGUGCUUGCACCUGGUGGCGAGUGGCGAACGGGUGAGUAAUACAUCGGAACGUACCUUAUCGUGGGGGAUAACGCAGCGAAAGCUGUGCUAAUACCGCAUACGCCCUGAGGGGGAAAGCGGGGGAUCGAAAGACCUCGCGCGAUUAGAGCGGCCGAUGCCUGAUUAGCUUGUUGGUGGGGUAAAAGCCCACCAAGGCGACGAUCAGUAGCUGGUCGGAGAGGACGAUCAGCCACACUGGGACUGAGACACGGCCCAGACUCCUACGGGAGGCAGCAGUGGGGAAUUUUGGACAAUGGGGGCAACCCGGAUCCAGCAAUGCCGCGUGAGUGAAGAAGGCCUUCGGGUUGUAAAGCUCUUUUGUCAGGGAAGAAACACCGGCUCUAACACAGUCCGGGAAUGACGGUACCUGAAGAAUAAGCACCGGCUAACUACGUGCCAGCCGCCUCCGUAA
rnacentral:rRNA from 1 species